rnacentral:lncRNA from 1 species
UGAGUAGAUGGAAGUCAAUAUUUAUUUGAGAAUAUACUGAAUUUCAUAAAGUCAAAUAGGGGCAGGUGAGUUCAACAUAUUGAGAAGACCCAUUUGUAAUCAGAGCUGUGGAUAUUCAUGCUUACAAGUCCUAAUUCCUUGAGGUUCUUAGAUGGUUAGGGAAGGUAGUUAACUAUAGUCUAGAAAUACAAAACAGUUUGCAGAAUUCUUUAGCUCAAAUUAAAUGGAUCUCAACCCAAUGAUGCCUGGCACUUGAGUCAUAGUAGCCUUCCUAGACUUGAAAUGUCUAAACAACUACAGAUCUUCCCACUGAGGAAGAGAAGAAUAUUUUAAAAGACCAAGGAAUCCUAACAGAUAACAACAGUGCCCAAGAACCAACUGUUGGAGAAGUAUUUUCUUGGACCUACUAUGUGCUAGAAAGUACUCCUCAUCCUCAGGCCCAACAUUGAAGUAUAGGAACAUGGAAAAAAAGUAAAAUCUACUUGGAGGCUUGGCUACAGAAUAUGAAAGAGAGCUCUGCUUUGUGGGAUCCUUCUCCCUCAUUUGAGAGAAAAUGCUUGCUAAGGAAUGACAAGAGUCCUGAUGAUCAUAUAGAAAAAAUCCCAGCUGGGUAAUCAUGGCUGCAAUCUAGAUGCCACACGCUUCUUCUCCCUGGCACCAAACAAAAUAGACUACAUCAAAGGAGCAUAAAAAUCACCUUUGGAGGAACAGAAGGACUCCCCAGUACACCACAGAGGCAAACGUACAUGGGGUUUGAACAUUUCCACACUAUAAUAAGAAGGAAGAAAAGCUUGCACAGAAAAGUGAACUGAGCCACCCUUCCCCCAUCGCAC